AUUUCUUUAUUAAUUUUUAAUAAAUAAUUUAUAUUAAAUAUAAAAAUAUAUUUAUACUAAAAAAAGACGACAAGACCCUAUUAAAUUUUACUUAUAGUUUAGCUGGGGAAGCUUUUCAAUUAAAAUUUUUUAAAUUAAAAUAAAUAAAAAUCUAAUAAAAUUAAAUUUUAAUAAAUUACUAUAGGGAUAACAGCAUUAUAUUUUUUAAAAGUUCAUAUUAAAAAAAAUGAUUGUGACCUCGAUGUUGAAUUAUAUUUUCUAUAUUUAAUGCAAUAAUUAUAUAAGUAGAUCUGUUCGAUCUUUAAAAUAUUACAUGAUUUGAGUUCAAACCGGUGUAAACCAGGUUGGUUUCUAUCUUUUUAUAUAUUUUUCUAGUACGAAAGGACAAAAAAAUUUUUAUUCUAAUAAAUUAGCAAAUAUAUGCAUUAGAUUUAGAAUCUAAAUAUAAUUAAGAAU
rnacentral:misc_RNA from 1 species